rnacentral:rRNA from 1 species
UACGUAGGUGGCAAGCGUUGUCCGGAAUUAUUGGGCGUAAAGAGCUCGUAGGCGGUCUGUCGCGUCUGCUGUGAAAACUCAGGGCUUAACCCUGAGCUUGCAGUGGGUACGGGCAGACUAGAGUGCGGUAGGGGAGAUUGGAAUUCCUGGUGUAGCGGUGGAAUGCGCAGAUAUCAGGAGGAACACCGAUGGCGAAGGCAGAUCUCUGGGCCGUAACUGACGCUGAGGAGCGAAAGCGUGGGGAGCGAACAGG